rnacentral:lncRNA from 1 species
GUUGCAAAAAAAUGAAAUUGAUAAAAUGAAUUAAAAAAUAAAGCAUACAAAAUUAAGAGAAACAAUAUAAACUUAGUAACUAACUUGUUUGUAAUUUUGCAUACAUUUUCUUAUUCAUAAAUAUUGUUGGAGAAUAGAUUUCUAGGCAGCGAGUCUUUGAAUUAAAUCUACUCUGCUGCUUUAUUCAAGCACUCGAAAUUUUCGACGCCAAUUUUCCCUGAGCGAUGUUUUGUUUAAAAUUAACGCAUUUUUUACUACCGAGUUCCUCUUUAAUGUCUCGCAGAAGGCUUAAAAGUUAUUAAAUUGACUCAAGUGUAACUAUUGUGUCGUUUAAACGGCUGAUCAAUCAUACUCAACAAACAGGCGUGGCAUCACAUUAUACAUUUUUCUGUCUCGAAAAAUUUAGAGUCUAUUUUUCAGAGAGAAUGGCCUCAAACGGACAUGCCGUGCGUGCUUCUAACUUGUCUCUAGAACGUAUUUUCUUUUAAUUAUACGAACACUUGACUUCCUUGCCACGAACAACUUGACUGGGCAAUGGAAACCGAAACAAUAAUGUUCAUACGAAAUUCUAUCACAUUCUUCUGUGGUGCUCCCUUGGAAUUGGAAAUCAUUGUGAUCAUUCUUCUACCUGCAAAGGACGAGUGGGUGUCAUCGGAGAAUGUGACGUCGACAGACGGUGCCGCCCCGACACAGAGCCCGCAGUCCGACCCGAACGUGGUAAGUAAAAAGUCCACGAGUCCAAAGUGGAGUUUCAAGCCCUUCGGACGUCCCGCGAGGACGGAAGGAAGCACCCCGGGAGUGGUGAGGCCGGACAAGGCCCGCAGGAAAAAACUCCACAAAAAAGCGAAAGAACCGGAGGAAGUGGAGGAGGACGACCCGAGCGACGACAUCGUCAACGCCAACCUUACCGUCGACGGUAUCCUCAUCUACCAGCAGAACCCGUGCAGGAAGUACAAGGAGAAACCGAAAUUCUUCCAUAAAUCCAAAAACUACGAGCAUAAGAAGGGCUGCAAGAAAGCCGCCAAACAUGUUAAGGCGUACAUCCAGAUCACGGGACGAAGCCUGCCCAACUGCCCGGACCCCGGUCAAGGCCGCUGCUUCGAGUUUCAACACAGCUCUGGCAGGUGCUACAUCCUCGUCAACACGAACGCGCCAAGAGAGGCGAGGAAGUUCGAGCUGAUCAACAACUGCUUCUACAGCCCCAUGACCGGUAUCCUACCACCGGCUGCUGUGCCACCGCCUCCGUCGCCUUCACCUCUGGCCGGUGUACCACCUCAACAACCACUUUCCUUCCCGGCUGGCGGAUAGCUCUACUAGAGUACCUAUAUUGAGCGAGUAUGGCCACUGGGCCCCAUGGAGAGGCUUAGGACCCAAAAAUGGCGGUGCUUUGUUUUGGUUUUUGUGGAUGGCAGGGGGUCAUUGCCAACUUGUGACGGUUAUCACCAACCGCGCUUGCUGCCAACCUUACUACAUCUAAGAUAAUUUUUCUCAAAAAUUGCACACGGUUAGCCUUAAAAACAUGUAAAGAUGUCGCAAUAGUGCAUUUGAGUAUAUUUCUCGUUACGAUAAGCAAAGAAAACUACAUUUUGAGUCAUUUUGCAUUACAUUAUUUUAUGGCGUCCGCCAUUUUGGGUCCUAAGGGCUCCAUUCAGCCUAAGAUGGCUGAGCCAAUCAGAGGUGGUAACCCCAGUGGCCAUACUCUCUCAAUAUAGAUACUCUAAGCUCUACCUUGUCCAUUUUCUUAUGGUCGGGGGGUCUUUAAUUCCCGCAGUACAGAGGGGGUCCCCCUCGGAAAAUUGUGGACAUUUUGAAUCUUUUUGGAGGCAUUUUCAGGCUUCCGUGACGCAGAUUUACCAUCAAUUUCUGCAGGAAAUUACCUUCAUUAUUUUUAUUUUCAGCAAAGAAUACUUUCAAAUUGUUGCAUUCAAUAGAUCCAGAAAAUGUUUGAAAUUUUAACUCUUUUUGGAGGCAUUGGAGGCUUCCUCGACGCAGCUUUUCCAUCUUCUUUUGCGGAAUAAGUACGCUUCUUUCUUUACUUUUACCACAAAAUAUUUUCGAACUGUUGCAUUCAAUACGCAUCUGGAAUUUUUUUGAAAUCAACUCUAUUUGGGCGCAUUUUGAGGCAUCAAUGACGCAGAUUUUCCAUCCAAUUCUGCAGAAUAAUUACGCAUUUUUCAACUAUCAGCAGAAAAUACUUUCGGAUUGUUGCAUUUCAUACAUCUGAAAUUUGUUUGUAAUUUUUACUCUAUUUGGACGCAUUUCGAGGCUUCCCUUGUGAAAAUUGUAGAAUAUACUAAGUGAAUGAACACGAUGUUUUCAUUUGAAACUCUACAUCAAGAGAGAUGAUCAUCCUCGGCGGUGGUCUCUUCCGGUAACGUUGCAUGGUGUCAACGAUCAUGGUGUCAACAAACCUAAAAUCUGAUCAUGGAGUCAACAAUUGUUGACGUCGUGGUCAGGCAGUAAAACGCAAAAAUGGGCCCUGAUCAUGGUGUCAACGAUUACGGUGUGAACAAAGAAAAAAAUAUCUUCCUUAUAAGUAAAAUUAAAAAGUUAAGUACACAGGGUCACGUAUGGUUGGUUGGAUUAGAUUAUGGAUGAUCAUGGAGUCAACAAAAACUUAGAAAAACCGUUUGUUGACACCGUAAUCGUUGACACCAUGCUACGUAAUCUCUUUUCCUACCACCCAGAAUUUCUCGGGGGGGGGGGGGAAUGAUACUAUUAUUUCAAUUUUAGGGGGAACCAGGCCCCCCGGACACCUCUCUCCUUCGUACGCCCAUGGGCUGGAGGGAGGUAAAGAAACUGCAGACUGAUUAUUGAAAUUGAUGGGCAAAGCUAUGGACAAAGAAGACAUAGCGAGUAUGGAGCGAUCCUAUCGGUUGAAAUGAGUGGCUCCUAUAGACAAAGGGAGAAAAUGAUAGACUAACUGUCGGGUCUCUCGUGGGUUGCCGUUAGUUAGUCUAUUACGUACCUCCUUUGUCCAUUACAACCACCCGCUUCCACCAAUAGCAUCGCUUCAUAACUCUUUUGUCCCCUUCGUCUAUAGCUUUGUCUAUCAAUUUCAAUAAUCGGCCCGAUAGAUGGAACUAGGGGAAGCGGUGCACCGCGGUGGGGGACUUGCAUCCCCCCCAAAGGAGAACCACGAGGCAAAGUAAGAAAUAAAAGAGAGGUUUAAAUUAGACUAAAGGGGGCACCCACUCUGGAGCUUUGCGGUCCAACCCCCAUCCCCCAGGUGCUUU